AGUAACGCGUGGGCAACCUGCCCCAUAGAGGGGGACAACAGCUGGAAACGGCUGCUAAUACCGCAUAACAAGGAGAGAGCGCAUGUUCUUUUCUUCAAAGAUUUAUCGCUAUGGGAUGGACCCGCGUCUGAUUAGCUGGUUGGUGAGGUAACGGCUCACCAAGGCGACGAUCAGUAGCCGGCUUGAGAGAGUGGACGGCCACAUUGGGACUGAGACACGGCCCAGACUCCUACGGGAGGCAGCAG
rnacentral:rRNA from 1 species